rnacentral:rRNA from 1 species
AGUGAACGCUGGCGGCGUGCUUAACACAUGCAAGUCGAACGAGAACGGGUUAUAGCUUGCUAUAAUUGUCAGCUAAGUGGCGCACGGGUGAGUAAUGUAUAGGUAAUAUGCCUCUUACUAAGGGAUAACAAAUGGAAACGUUUGCUAAUACCUUAUACUCCUUAUUAACAGAAGUUAAUAAGGGAAAGAUUUAUUGGUAAGAGAUUAGCCUGUAUUGUAUCAGUUAGUUGGUGGGGUAAUGGCUUACCAAGACUAUGACACAUAACUGGUUUGAGAGGAUGAUCAGUCGCACUGGAACUGAGACACGGUACAGACUCCUACGGGAGGCAGCAGUGGGGAAUAUUGCACAAUGGACGAAAGUCUGAUGCAGCAACGCCGCGUGGAGGAUGACACAUUUCGGUGCGUAAACUCCUUUUAUAUGAGAAGAUAAUGACGGUAUUAUAUGAAUAAGCACCGGCUAACUCCGUGCCAGCAGCCGCAGUAACAC